UAGUCUGCGUUUUACUUGUUAUUCGGUUGUCGUUUUGGUCAUUAUUUUGAGCAAAUUUGGGCAAUUAUUAGGAGCAUGUCUCCUAUAUGUCACAGCCCGUCAAAAUUAACGUCUGUGAUACAUAAACAUUAUUAAUAUCAAAUGAUAUUAUGUCACCGCCCGUCAAAUUAACUCCAGUAAUACAUAAACAUUAUUUAUAUCAUUUGAUAAUCUAUGCGUUUUGCUUGUUAUAGGUUGCCGUUUCGUUUUGCAGAGAAAUUGGGUCAUCGGCCGAGAUGCUUCUCUAGUUCGCCGGAGAAGAGAACACUGGCUAUUCUGAAGUGCUCCGGCUCGUUUCGUCACUGAAUUGCUCCGGCACGCUUCGUCACCUUAUUCCUCCAUCCCUACAAAUAAGGAUAAGGUAAUGUUGAAAGCUUUCAAUUGUUGGUGUUUGGUGUCGUGAAAGAUCGAAUGAAACUGGCCCCCAAAGAUCGAAUUCAGCUCCAUAUUUUGUUCCUUGAAUAUGCGGAGGUUCACCAUAGCUAAGCUCAUUGUUCGUUGAGAAACCAAGCUCAAACACUGUUGGUGUUGGAUUUAGCCCAAAUCUAACCCAUAAAGCACUUUGAGUGAACAAGCCAUUAUAAGGGAAGUUUUGGGCCCUAUAGACCCGUAACUAAGGCAAGGAAAGCAUCUCCAAGGAAUAUACUCAAGUACAAGUCAAUCUAAGAGGACGCGGAAAGCUGGAUAAAAAGAGAUCGUGGAGAUCUCGGAGAAGAAGAGGUCGUAGAUAAGAGGAGAUCGCGGAGAUCUCGGAGAAGGAGAGAACGUAUCAACCCGCGGAUCUCGGAACAGUUCGUCUCGUUCUAUUUAGUAUGUUUCGUUCUAUUUAGUAUAAAUAGGAGUUGAAUCUCUUGUAAAGGGCAUCCAAUCUUUAGCACAAAAACACUUUGUAAACAUUCAUCUUUCAUCAAUACAAUCCAAAUUCGUCGAUCUUUGUCUUUAUUUUUACAUCGCUCUCACCAGAAUUCUUGCCCAAAUUCUUCUACCACAAAAUCAACACACUAAAUCCUUGAGUGUGGAUUUUAAGAUCCACAUUUUGGUGCCGUCUGUGGGGAAGAAACAGAGAAAUUCUUACACCUGAGACCGAUCUCAAAGACAAGUAAGAACGAAAUGGAUCCCAGAAACGUUGAAACAUCUGCCUCAAAGACAAGCUCCGGCCUCGCACUAAACUUCAGCAUCGCAGGACGAUCUGGAGGUGCCGAGAUCACCGAUCCACAAAGCUCGUCUGCCCAUAAACAGAUAAACGAGUCGAGCGUCGCAAAUCCGAUAACCAGCUCGACUCAAACCGUUUCUUCGAGCGCGAUGCGAACUACCGGCAUGCCCGCCGUGUCACGCUCGGAGUCCGGAACGGCCCCAAUAUUCACAUAUUCGCGGACCUGGACAAAAUUUGGAAUUCCAUCGAUCGGAUCCAGCAGUUCGAAUCAAACUGAAUCCGUUCGGGCCGGAUCGUCUCAGACGAUAGCCAGCGACGACCUAGCGGAAUUUCGAAAGAUGCUAGCCUUCUUGGCAGAACAAGCCCGCGAGAACCGAGCUAUUCUCACACGAAAUAAGAAAGAGAUAGCUAGCUUGCGACGAGAGUGGACACAACCAACUCAGUCUCAGGGUGAAGAUCACGACGAUCUAUCCGAAGAGGAAGAUCGAAGUCCGCCCCCGAAUACUCGAUUGGAGUUCGAACACCUCACAAAUGACAAUCUGUUAGCACAGUUCGUCACUCCGUCGCGAACUAACAACACCCCAAUACUUAGUGAGAUAGUCAAUCAUCUGCCGAUACUCGGAUCCGGAACAUCGGAGCACGAAACACCUGCGGCAGACGAUUGUCAAAAUCACCUAUCAACACCUCUAUUCUUUCGCAGAUCCCAAGGUCGUAGUACGAACCGUGCUAACCCGCCAACCGACAGGCGAUCUAACGAAGAACAAAUUGCCGACGAUACUUUCCAAACCGGAAGUCAGCAACAAGGAAACGCACGCAAUAAGAAGCGCGCGGAUGACCCUCCAAAUAUCAUAGCUCCGCGAUCUAUAAACAACUUCGAUGCGCUCCAGCGAUACAUUGAAGCAAACAACGCCGAACUAAAUCGUAUGUACGCCGCAAUACAUAAAGCAACGAGUGCGGCUCCUGAUAUAGAUCGCGUGCUGGACGAAACUAGAAGAACCCCCUUCACCGAUCGCAUAGCUAACGCUAAGAUCAAGGACACUGGGAAAAUGCGGUUCCCAGAAUAUAAUGGAACAUCAGAUCCCUUAGCUCACCUCAGAGCUUUUAGGCUCACCGUAGCCCGAGCUCAUCUCAACAAUGAGGAAAAAGAAGCAGGCUAUUGCCGGCUUUUCACCGAAAAUCUAGUCGGAUCCGCCCUAGAAUGGUUCGCCGGGCUAGAAGAAGAAUCCAUUGACAAUUUCCAGCAGCUCGGUUCGGCCUUUCUUAAGCACUAUUCGAUGUUUAUAACGUCCAAGGCCACAGAAGCCGACCUAUGGACCUGCAGACAGAAUCACUAGGAGCCCCUGCGGUCUUACUUGGCUAGGUUCAAGGAAAUAAAAUCCAGGAUAUCCGAACUAAACGAGGGAGUAGCAUUCUCCGCACUCAAACAAGAGCUAUGGUUCGACUCACCUUUCAGACAGGAACUAUCGGUUCGCUGUCCGGUGUCUCUAGACGACGCUUUCCAUCGAGCUUCGAGCUUCGAGCUUCGCUCGCUACGAGGAAGAACAAAAUGUCCUCCGAGAACAGUUCGAAGCUGGGUUACUAACACCCAACCUCUCCACCUUUGCAGACACGGACUCCCUUAUGAGAUCGUGACAGACAUUAGUACUAAGUAUCCGCCGGACCCUUUUGUCCGGAAAACGAAGAACUUAACAAAGAAAUGCCAAAAGAUCGGCAAGGUAUGAUCAAAGAACAAAGAGAUCGAACCCUUAAUCCGAAUCCAAAGUUACCAGCAGGGCGAGGUCCGCUACUAUAAUUCUGGUGCAAAACACCUGAGCUUUAGUAUUGGCAAUCUCCUGCUACACAAGGUAUUCGAUAACACUAAAGAGUGUGGCACCAACAAGAUGUGCUCUAACUGGGAAGGUCCUUACGGGAUCGUCGAAGUAGUCCACAGCGGUGUCUACAAACUCGCGAACAUCAGAACCGGAGUGCCAGAGAUAAGAACGUGGAAUGUUAUAAAUCUCAAACAUUACCACCUCCGAGCACCGACAAUUAUCGAACUACGUUCACGGUUGAUCCCUUGACGGGGUACGUAGGUAGCUCAACACCGAGUCCAGCCACUAUCUUUUCUUACAUACUUAGUCAAAAUUAUAAAAUGUAUGUAACAUCGCGUUUGUGAAUAGAAACCCUUAUUCCAAAACUCGCUCACUUCAAGAUCUCUUAAAACGAUCUUAUAGCUCGAGGCCCCGAGCCCGCUAAGUAACGAUUGAGCCGAACAAUCUCAGCUUAGUUCGCUAUCAUAUUGGGUAAUUAAUAGUCAUAGUUUAUAGCUCGCUAAACGAUAACGAACUCUACCAAAGUAGAUUAAAAAGUCGUUAUCUGCAGUAAACUAUCAUAAAUCGAUCUAAACAGAACGAUCAUCAAGCUCGUAGCUCGCUGAGUAACUUGGCGCCUACAAAAUAAAAGUUACUAUCACAGUUCGCUACUCGCUACUUGACACCAUAACGCGAUCUCUCUAAAACGAUCGUAUGGUCACAACUUAUAAAACUUCGGCACAUAUUAAACAAAGAGCAUUUAUAACGCCUUGUUCGAAAUCCUGAUCCCAUGAUCAAAAAUCACGCGAUAUAGGUCGUUCAGGUCCCAUGGGGUGAAAAAUUCUCCAUAAAAUAGUCCGCCCCUUUAGUUCGUUUCUCACUAAACGGGCUGGGGGGCAAUUGUUGGUGUUGGAUUUAGCCCAAAUCCAGCCCAUAAAGCACUUUGAGUGAACAAGCCAUUAUAAGGGAAGUUUUGGGCCCUAUAGGCCCGUAACUAAGGCAAGGAAAGCAUCUCCAAGGAAUAUACUCAAGUAUAAGUCAAUCUAAGAGGACGCGGAAAGCUGGAUAAAAAGAGAUCGUGGAGAUCUCGGAGAAGAAGAGGUCGUAGAUAAGAGGAGAUCGCGGAGAUCUCGGAGAAGGAGAGAACGUAUCAACCCGCGGAUCUCGGAACAGUUCGUCUCGUUCUAUUUAGUAUGUUUCGUUCUAUUUAGUAUAAAUAGGAGUUGAAUCUCUUGUAAAGGGCAUCCAAUCUUUAGCACAAAAACACUUUGUAAACAUUCAUCUUUCAUCAAUACAAUCCAAAUUCGCGAUCUUUGUCUUUAUUUUUACAUCGCUCUCACCAGAAUUCUUGCCCAAAUUCUUCUACCACAAAAUCAACACACUAAAUCCUUGAGUGUGGAUUUUAAGAUCCACAAACACUAACAGCUAAAACUCAUUCCUGUAAAAUUUGAACCAGGAAUCUUCUUCACUUCUUCUGCAGUUUACUCGUGAUUAGUACGGGAGCAAAGCUCAACGCUUCCUUGAGAUGAGUUAGUCUGAUACCUACCAGCUCCAUCAGUUGGUUUUCUUUUAUGCAAAUUCUGCUUCUUUCUCUUCUUUUUUUUUUUUUUUUUUUUUUUUUUUUUCAUUUUCGCUGGAAUAGCUACUUCAGACCAGCUCCUAGGUUUUGAUGUAGACAAGGAUCAAGAGAUUUGAAUCCGUCACCUUCCUAAUCCUUGAAAACAAAAGUUCAGUGUGUGUUUCUUUCUAUCAACCAAAAACAAGGGAAAAUCCCUUAUUUUGCUGAAAGCUCUCUGCGAUUGCGACCAUAAACCAACGGAGAAAGAGAUGAAGGUGGAGAUUAAACUUCUCUUUGGUGGCUUCUGUUACUAAAACGGCUGAUUCAGUUGAACACGAUCUCCCAAAAGGUGCAUCGAUAUCCUUCAUCACUUGAAGGGCUUGUCUCUUUCUUAUCUUGGCUUGUCUAGAGCUAUUAGCUAGUUUCCUCUUUUGGAGAUCAAGACAAGAGAAAGAGAGAGAGAGAGAGAGAUGGAA
rnacentral:lncRNA from 1 species